rnacentral:rRNA from 1 species
CCUACGGGAGGCAGCAGUGAGGAAUAUUGGUCAAUGGGCGGAAGCCUGAACCAGCCAAGUCGCGUGAGGGAAUUAGGCCCUACGGGUCGUAAACCUCUUUUGCCGGGGAGCAAGGGCGGGGACGUGUCCCGGCCCGGGGCGUACCCGGAGAAAAAGCAUCGGCUAACUCCGUGCCAGCCGCCGCGGUAAUACGGGGGAUGCGAGCGGUAUCCGGAUUUAUUGGGUUUAAAGGGGGCGUUGGCGGGCUUUUAAGUCAGCGGUAAACAGUCGGGGCUCAACCCCGUCCGGCCGUUGAAACUGGGGGCCUUGAGUGGGCGAGAAGAAGGCGGAAUGCGUGGUGUCGCGGUGAAAUGCAUAGAUAUCACGCAGAACCACGAUUGCGAAGGCAGCCUUCCGGCGCCCUACUGACGCUGAGGCACGAAAGUGCGGGGAUCGAACAGGAUUAGAUACCCUUGUAGUC